AGUGAACGCUGGCGGUAGGCCUAACACAUGCAAGUCGAACGGCAGCACAGUAAGAGCUUGCUCUUACGGGUGGCGAGUGGCGGACGGGUGAGGAAUACAUCGGACUCUACUUUUUCGUGGGGGAUAACGUAGGGAAACUUACGCUAAUACCGCAUACGACCUACGGGUGAAAGCAGGGGAUCUUCGGACCUUGCGCGAUUGAAUGAGCCGAUGUCGGAUUAGCUAGUUGGCGGGGUAAAGGCCCACCAAGGCGACGAUCCGUAGCCGGUCUGAGAGGAUGGUCGGCCACACUGGAACCGAGACACGGUCCAGACUCCUACGGGAGGCAGCAGUGGGGAAUAUUGGACAAUGGGCGCAAGCCUGAUCCAGCCAUACCGCGUGGGUGAAGAAGGCCUUCGGGUUGUAAAGCCCUUUUGUUGGUAAAGAAAAGCAGCAGGUUAAUACCCCGCCGUUCUGACGGUACCCAAAGAAUAAGCACCGGCUAACUUCGUG
rnacentral:rRNA from 1 species